rnacentral:rRNA from 1 species
ACCGGCAAGGCCUGGCACUUACGAUAAGCCCGCGGCCUAUCAGCUAGUGGCGGGGUAAAAGCCCACCAAGGCUAAGACGGGUAGCUGUCUGAGAGGACGACCAGCCACACUGGAACUGAGACACGGUCCAGACACCUACGGGUGGCAGCAGUCGAGAAUUUUCACAAUGGGCGAAAGCCUGAUGGAGCGACGCCGCGUGGGGGAUGAAGGGCUUCGGCUCGUAAACCCCUGUCAUUCGCGAACAAAGGUGCCGGCCUAAUAUGCCGUCGUCUGAUAGUAGCGGAAGAGGAAGGGACGGCUAACUCUGUGCCAGCAGCCGCGGUAAUACAGAGGUCCCAAGCGUUGUUCGGAUUCACUGGGCGUAAAGGGUGCGUAGGUGGCAGGCUAAGUCGGGUGUGAAAUCUCCGGGGCUCAACCCGGAGGGUGCGCUCGAAACUGGUUUGCUAGAGGAUGGGAGGGGAGACUGGAAUUCUCGGUGUAGCAGUGAAAUGCGUAGAUAUCGAGAGGAACACCGGUGGC